rnacentral:rRNA from 1 species
AGGUCCGACCUGCCCAGUGAAAACUUUUUAACGGCCGCGGUAUCCUAACCGUGCAAAGGUAGCGCAAUCACUUGCCCCUUAAAUAGGGGCUAGUAUGAACGGUUUAAUGAGGGUCCAACUGUCUCCUGAGGCCGAUCAAUGAACUUGAUAACUCAGUACAAACGCUGAAAUAUAACCAUAAGACGAGAAGACCCUGUGGAACUUUAAGUAUUCUGUUGACUAACCCAAUAAAACCCUCAACACCAUACUUCAGUUGGGGCAACUUCGGGGUAAAACAAAACCCCCACGAAAAUAACUAACGUUAUACAACUAGGCCCACACGCCACAUAAACAAUGUUCGACCCAGUCCACAACUGAUCACCGAACCAAGCUACCCCAGGGAUAACAGCGCUAUCCCCUUCAAGAGUCCCUAUCGCCAAGGGGGUUUACGACCUCGAUGUUGGAUCAGGACACCCAGG